GACGAACGCUGGCGGCGUGCUUAACACAUGCAAGUCGAACGAUGAUGCUCCAGCUUGCUGGGGUGGAUUAGUGGCGAACGGGUGAGUAACACGUGAGUAACCUGCCCCCUUCUUCGGGAUAAGCUUGGGAAACUGGGUCUAAUACUGGAUAUUCUGCAAUUGUCGCAUGGUGGUUGUGGGAAAGAUUUUUUGGUGGGGGAUGGGCUCGCGGCCUAUCAGCUUGUUGGUGGGGUGAUGGCCUACCAAGGCGUCGACGGGUAGCCGGCCUGAGAGGGUGACCGGCCACACUGGGACUGAGAUGCGGCCCAGACUCCUACGGGAGGCAGCAGUGGGGAAUAUUGCACAAUGGGCGCAAGCUUGAUGCAGCGACGCCGCGUGAGGGAUGACGGCUUUCGGGUUGUAAACCUCUUUCGAUGGGGAACAAGGCCAUAUUUUUGUGUGGUUGAGGGUACCUGUAUAAGAAGCGCCGGCUAACUACGUG
rnacentral:rRNA from 1 species